GUCUCUCUCCUCAGUUGAAAGGGUAACCCCUUCCCGACCACACGCAGCCGCCGCCGGCGAUCCUCCUCCCUCCUCCCAUGUUGUACGCCGCCGUGGCAGCUCCGCGGAGGCACACGGAAGCUCAACGCGAGGAAAGCCUGAGCUCGACGCCCUCCACACAGUAGCCCGCGGAGCGCGCCCCUGCCAUGAGACCCUGCCCCUUCGGAUGCGCUUCCGACCGCCUAUUCCCCUGCGCCUCCUCCUGCCUCAGCUGUGGCGCCGCCCUUCGCUUCCUCCCGUGCAUCUCCCUAGGCCCAUAUCCUCGUAUCCCUCCGCGGCAGCCGUGGCGGCGGCAACGGAUUCCGAGGAGGAUCCCUCGGUUGCUAGGGAUCCACGGCUAGCGCCUCAUUUUGUGGGCGGGGCAGGAGGGUCGCCUAGGUUUGGGGAGAACAAGGCGGAGUUCGAGAGAAAGGCCUCGAUUGCCGCGCGGUUCAAGCUCUGCUAUGAACUGCUGCGGCAGAGAAGGCGGCGGGAGAUGCGGGGCGGCUUGGCGCAGGUGGUCAGCGAACAAGGAUCCGGGUCUGCAGCCAUUCUCUGUGAUAUCUUGUGGAGUGAGUUCAGAGAGUAUGAUUCCAGUGGUGUUGUAUGGGAUGCUCUAGCAAAUAGUUAUGCAAGAAGUAAGAUGGUUCAUGAUGCUCUUUACGUUCUCAGUAAAAUGAACAGCCUGAAUAUGCAAAUAUCAGUUUCCACCUAUGAUAGUUUAUUGUAUGGUCUACGGAUGACAGACAUGGCAUUGGAGCUUUUUGAUGAAAUGGAGGCAUAUGGUAUCUCUCACAGCGAAUAUUCACAUAGCAUUCUCAUCGAUGGCCUCUGCAAGCAAAAUAAAGUUGGAGAGGCUUUAUCUUUCCUUCAAGAGGCAAGGGAAGGGGGGAUGUUUAGACCACUGGGAAUGUCCUUUAACACUCUGAUGUCUGCAUUGUGUAACUGGGGAUUUAUUCAGCCUGCAAAAUCGUUUUUAUGUCUGAUGAUGAAAUAUGGAUUAAACCCUAACAGGUAUACCUAUUCUACUCUUAUACAUGGUCUGUGUAAAGUAGGUUGCCUAGAUGAAGCAGUGGAUCUUCUUGAGAGAGUGACAAAAGAAGGAAUGAAACUCGAGACUGUCACCUACAACAGCCUUAUUAAUGGUUAUCGAUUGCUUGGUUUGACAAGAGAAAUUCCGAAAAUAAUUCAGUUUAUGAGAUACCAAGGGAUUGAACCUGAUCUUGUUACUUAUACCAUACUUAUUGCUGGUCAUUGUGAAGGUGGUGAUGUUGAAGAAGGGAUGAAGAUAAGAAAGGAUAUCCUAGACAAAGGUCUGCAGUUGAAUAUUGUCACAUACAGUGUCCUUCUCAAUGCUCUUUUCAAAAAGGGUUUGGUCUAUGAGGUUGAGAACUUACUUGGUGAGAUAUAUAGUAUUGGUCUAGAUAUGGAUGUCAUUGCAUAUUCCAUCCUCAUCCACGGGUACUGCAAGCUAGGGGAAAUUGAAAGGGCACUAGAAGUUUGUGAUGUCAUGUGCUGUUCUCAGAAGGUAGUGCCAACCUCACUGAACCAUUUAUCAAUUCUUCUUGGACUUUGCAAGAAAGGACUUCUAGUUGAAGCGAGAUGGUAUUUGGAAAAUGUAGCUAGCAGAUAUCAGCCAGGUGAUGUAAUACUUUAUAAUGUGGUUAUUGAUGGUUAUGCAAAGGUUGGUGAUAUUGGUAAUGCUGUCCGUCUGUAUGAUCAGAUUGUUGUGGCUGGUAUGAAUCCAACCAUUAUCACAUGUAAUUCUCUUCUGUAUGGCUACUGCAAAUUUGGGGAUUUACACGCUGCAGAGAGCUAUUUCAGGGCUAUUGAGAUAAGUAAUCUGCUGCCAACAGCAGUAACAUACACGACCAUUAUGGAUGCACUCUCUGAAGCUGGAAAAGUUAACACCAUGCUCAGUUUUUUUUAUGAAAUGGUGGAAAAAGGGAUCAAGCCAAAUGCUGUAACUUACAGUGUUGUUAUUAAAGGACUAUGUAAGCAGCUCAGAUUCCGUGAUGCUAUCCAUUUUCUGGACAAUAUGGAUGGAGCCGACCCAAUAACUUACAAUACGCUUAUACAAGGAUUUUGCGAAGCACAGGACAUCCAGAUGGCUUUCUGCAUGCAUGACCGUAUGUUAUGCUGUGGUCUAGUGCCCACACCUGUUACUUAUAACUUGCUUAUCAAUGUGCUGUGCUUGAAGGGGAAAGUUAUUCAAGCAGAAAUGCUAUUGGAAUCCCUCAGAGAAAAGGGCAUUGAAUUGAGAAAAUUUGCAUACACAACAAUAAUCAAAGCUCAGUGUGCAAAAGGAAUGCCUUACGAUGCCAUUUCAUUAGUUGGUAAGCUUAUUGAUGAUGGUUUUGAAACUUCUAUUGAAGACUUCAGUGCUGCAAUCAAUCGACUUUGCAAAAGAAAAUUUCCUAAAGAAGCCGUCAUGUUCAUUCCGAUUAUGUUAUCUGUUGGUGUUUUCCCGGACACGCAAGUUUAUUUUGUGCUUGUUAAAGCUCUGCAAAAAAGUAACAUGCUUUGCCAUAUACCCAUAUUGCACGCACUUUCUGUCAAAACUGGUAUAUAAUACCCUGGUCAUGUAUUGAGAGUUAAAGACUUGGAGGUUCUGUGUCCUCAAAUGUUUGUAUAGAUGAGGAUUGAGGACAACAUGGGCUGCAUGUAACCACAGGACAGUGCAGUUAUGCCAAGGCAUUUUUUUCGGGAAAACGCAAAGACUUUGCGUUUCUUUUCAUUGAUAAGGUGGGGGAAAAGUUACAUGCCUCCUAGGAGACGGUUUACAGAGAGCAUUACAAAUGUUUUAAUGGACGUCCCAGGUGGCUGGGAGUACCAGCCGCAGGCCCGAGGCCCCAGCCCGAGCCCAGAGGGCGGCUUCCGCUCUAAUUUUCUCUGUCAAGAGGGGGACAGAGGGUCGAUCUCCAUCGUAGACGCAUGCGUUGCGCUGCUUCCAGAUCAUCCAUCCUGUCAACAGUGCUAUGGUGGCAGUCCCUUGCUGAGUGGUUUGGGGGGUCAUCUCCUUGGCAGCGAGCCACCAUUCGUUGAGGGAGUUGUCGCGGUCCGGUGGUCUGCAAGUCAUCCUUAGCCAGGAGAGUCUGUCGUGCCAAACCUGCCUAGAGAAAGUGCAAGAGACAAGCAGGUGGUGCAUUGUCUCAGGAUCUUGGUCGCAUAGUAGGCAGCUAGGGUGGUGCUGUAGGCCGCGGCGUUGCAAUCUGUUGACAGUCCAGCACCUGUCCAUGUUGGCUAGCCAGUGAAAGAACUUCACUCUCGGCGGUGCCCAGUUCUUCCAAAUGAGCUUUGAAGCGCUGUAGCUGGUGGAUCCCUCGAAAGUAGCAAGGUAGCAAGAACGAGCAGAGUAUGUGCCGCUGGCGCUCCACUUCCAGAUCAGCUGAUCUGGCUCAUCUGAGAGGGUGGUGUGCUCGAUGGCUCGCCAAAGCAGCAGGUACUGCCCAUUCUCGUGGACACCCAGGUUCCCGUGGAUGUCGCGCGUCCAGGCGUGUGCAUGGAGCCCGUCAGCGACAGAUUGAAGCUUUCGUCUUUGCUUAGCGAUGCAGGCAUAUAGCUUUGGGGCGAUCUCGCUCACAGAUUUGCCCAGCGAUCCUCCCAGAACAAGGCCGUUCGGCCAUUGCCAAUGAUCAUGCUGGUGGAGGCAAAGAACAAUGAGCGCUCUUCUGCCGAGAACUGCAGGUCAAGGCCAGCACAAGCUAGCCCAGUCUCCGUCCUGCUGAACCAUUGCCAUCUCAAUCGCAGCGCAAGCUCUGCUCUCUCAGUGUCCUGGACGCCAAGGCCACCGAGGGGUUUCGAAAAAAAAGGCCACCGAGGGAAAGUGGCCGGCAGACUCGUCUCCAAUUUACAUGGCAGCAGUUAUGCUAACGUAUAAGGCAUAUUACAAGUGAAACUGUGAAUGUCCAUAAGUCAUAGUAAAAGUCGUGCAUUGGAGACUUUGAAAAGUGAAAUACGCCUCAUACCUCAACAGAGGGAGUAAUCAGUUUUGCUGUCUCAAGUCUCAACAAUUAAAUAUAUGCAACGACCUUUCAUCAGGUAUGAUGUGCAAUCAUGAAGCCGAUUGUUCAGUACUCCAUUCAUUUAAAAAUAUAGGACCUUUGAUGGGCUUAAGAAUGCCCAUUCAUUAUAAACCCUGUAUGUCCAGGUCCGUGCAUUAAUCUGCCGUGGUGUAAUGCCAAAAACGGCAAUAUCCUCUGUGGGUAUGGAACCCGUGGGAUGAUAAAACAACAAGAGGCAAUAGAAAAGGUUUACACAGGGGCUUAAUCUAAAAAAAAACCUGUUGGACGGGGCCCUGCUGCACGCCUACGCCUUUGUCUCCGUUGUGCCGCAUCCUGAAAGGGUAUCGCGUGAACAUUGUCUAUGGAAAUAGGGGAUCUCAUAGAAGAGUGCAACGUAAGUGUGCGAUGGAUAGUAGAAAAUGUAAAAUGCUGGCCUGCCAAUAAGGUUGAGCCGAGAGUGUGGGGCUUUAUUAUUAGCCCGUGGUGUCCACUAUAGGAGUACAUAUACAAUUGCCCUGGUUUAAUGUGGGCUGCCGGACUCGUCUAACCGUGUACGCUUCUGGAGUCACCUGGAGAGCCGAAUGUUACCUCCAGUAUGA